AGUCAUCAUAUUUAUAAAUGACAACAAUUAAUUUGUGUCAUAUAAACAGUGAUUUAAAAUAAAUGGUAUCAUCAAUAUUCUGUCAGCUAUGAAGUGUGCACAAUUAUUCAUUUUUUUCCAGGCAAAAAACAUGAAUUCUGCUGAGAUUCAUUAUCAACUAUGCAAAAUUUAUGGACUAUACAUUAUGAAUGAAGGAGUGUCAGAUGAUAGUAUAGAAUGUUUAAAAGGAUCAAAUGAAUAUUUGCAGAGAAGAGUGAUUUGGCUUGUCAUCACAUGUGAGAUUAUCUUGUACAGAAAGUGGAUGCAAAGCUUCGGGAAAAUUGAUUCUUCUCAAUAAUCUGAGCUUUCAUUUCAUUUUCAAUAAUUUUUGGAAUCAUUCAAAAUACAAGAUAUGGAAUGCUGAUUUUUAGCAUUAUCUUGCUGCACAUUUGCAUCUCAUGGCUCAUACUUGAGAAAUGCUUCAACAUUUCAACUGGGAUUUGUCUGAUCACCCACAUAUAAUUCUGAUCUUGCUUCAGGUGAGUAUCAUUUUUUCCAACAUUUGAAAAAACUGAUUAGCUACACACUGAUGACAACAAAUUGAAAAUAGAAGUAUAAACAUAGUUUAGCUGACUAGAAGCUGAUUUCUUUAAUGAGGAAAGUAAAAAACUCAUUCUCUAAUAUGAUAAUUGCUAAAUUUACAUAGUGAAUAUGUGGAAAAGUAAUUUAGUUAUUUAGAUGUUUUUUAUAUAUAAUAAAUGUUGUUUGCUCUAUUAUUACUAAUUUUUGUAACCAAUCAGAAAUUAUUUUCUGAAUGGCCCUUGUAUUAUGUAGAUGAGAUGAUUUUUCAAAUGAAUUUGGCUGGAAGAUGGUAAUUUGACACUGUUACUCAUAUUUUCCAGUAACAAAAUUUGAAGAAGUGAAAAAUAAUUUAACCCUUUAGUUAAAAUAUAACACCCAAAGAAAUAAAUAGAAUCAGUUUAAUAUAGGAUGGUUUUUGGUUCAGCUCUUUACAACAAGUUAGUUGUAUUAUUAAAAUGUAUAUUUGUAUUCUUUAAAAGUGCAAUUACU
rnacentral:lncRNA from 1 species